rfam:Ipomoea nil DNA, scaffold: scaffold3210, cultivar: Tokyo-kokei standard.
GAUGGUUUGGCCGAGUGGUCUAAGGCGCCAGAUUUAGGCUCUGGUCCGAAAGGGCGUGGGUUCAAAUCCACAGCCGUCA